GACGUAGGGCGCGAGCGUUGUCCGGAUUUAUUGGGCGUAAAGAGCUCGUAGGCGGUCUGUCACGUCGGAUGUGAAAGCCCGGGGCUUAACCCCGGGUCUGCAUUCGAUACGGGCAGACUAGAGUGCGGUAGGGGAGACUGGAAUUCCUGGUGUAGCGGUGAAAUGCGCAGAUAUCAGGAGGAACACCGGUGGCGAAGGCGGGUCUCUGGGACGGUACUGACGCUGAGACGCGAAAGCGUGGGGAGCGAACAGG
rnacentral:rRNA from 1 species